rnacentral:misc_RNA from 1 species
AUUUUCUGAAACAUCAAAGCUGUUUGGUGUAAAUGUCAUUUACCAAGGUUUUACCAAAAUCUUAAAUACAAUGAAACUUCAAAUUAUUUUACAACUUCAACAGCAGACAUCAUAAAUAGUUCCCAUUCCAUGUUUCCAAACAUAAGCAGUUUAUUCACUUCCUCUCUUAGCAUUAAGUACAUAAAAGUAAAAAGAAGAAAAUGUUUGACUUCCCUUUGUCAAGAAGCUCUAGGGUCCAUUCCAUGUUGCCAAACAUAAACAAGUUCAUCCCAUCCUGUACUAGCCAAUAGACCUUCAACGAGAACGCUCAUAUCAACUCCUACAGCAAACUCUGUGUGAUGAUCAUACCUCCCAAUAAGUGCAUCUUCCACCAUGUAAUCCCACAUGCAAACUGUCAUGUCAUAUGAACAAGAAACCAUUGCACUCGCUCUAUGUGGUGAAAACCUCACUUUCCUCACUGCAUAUCCAUGCCCAUUAAGCACUGAUAUUGGCACUCUAUAAUUCCUAACAUCCCAAACCUUGAUUGACUUAUCAACGGAUGCAGUUGCAAUGAUACAAUCGUCAUACUUACUCCAAUCACAUGUGAGGAUUUCAAACUCGUGUGCAGGCAGAAUCAUUGUAGAACCUGGUUCGCGGACAUCCCAGAUGCGAGUAGUACAAUCCCCAGAAGCAGAUGCAAAGAUAUCAGCAUGUCUUGGAUUCCAAGCAGCGGAAUAGACACAAUAAGCAUGUUCCUUAAAAGUCCUUACACUGGCAUUUCUAUCAACAGUCCAUAGCUUCACAGUAUCAUCCCAAGACGCUGACAAGAAGGAAUCUUUUCUCACGGUAUUAUAGUCAACAGAGUGAACUUCCCGUGUAUGUUCCUUAAAAGAACGAAUAGGGUUAUUGGUGGGAGGCAAAGAAAGGUCAUAGAGUUUCACAGAACCAUCGCCACUUCCAGCAAUAACAAGUGAAUCGUGAGCUUCCGACCAGCAAACGUCGUAAACUCCAUCAGCUGUGUCAAAAGCCGCAAGUUCCGAUACCGGUCCGUUUGGAUUGAGCUGAAGAAUGUGAACUCUCCCGUUACCAAGGAUGCCGAAAUUCUGCGCAGUGGCCACAGCUAGUUUGUUUUCGUAGAAGGGACUGAAUUUUACGGAGUAACCGUUAAAUGGAGUUUUAAAUACCGGCAUCUUAGGCGGUCGGCGGACGGCGGACAGCGGUCGGCGCUGAUUUGAUUGUUGCCGGUGAUUUACUUUCCCGAUGUAAAAGGGGUUUUCCCCCAAAAUCGUCCUGUAUUUGAG